GAACGAAACAGGAAAGAAAAUGUCUUAGUGUCCUAGGUUGCACCUUCCCAAGGCUGAGGCAAGGCUAGAGGCCUUGUAGGCAUCAGCAGAGAUAGUGGAUUCCCCAGCGUGGGAGCCAGGGAGCUACAGUGAAUGAAGACAAACCUGGGCUUUGCCUUGGCGAACUGUGCAGCCGCAGCCUUGGCAGUCACAGCUGCUAAAACUUCAGCCAACCUAACGAGCCCUCCACACGCCUCAGUUUAAUGGACUCACUGGAGAAAUGGUUCAGAAGCCUUGUCUUACUCUCACCCCCGCUGUGUGUGACUGUUUAGAAGCUGAGAAAGGGGGGGUUGGGCAUUUAGCUCAGUGGUAGAGCGCUUGCCUAGCAACCGCAAGGCCCUGGGUUCGGUCCCCAGCUCCGAAAAGAAAAAAAAAAAGAACUUCCCAGUUCUUAGUUUAGAAGCUGAGAAAGGUCCUUCUGCCUGGGAAUCUGGGCUUCGUCUCCAUUACACUGCAGCAGUGACAGGUGAGCAGGAAGACGCUCGCCCGCUGAUGCCAGCCUCUGGAAGGCCCACGUGGUUGUCCCAGCUAGCCCAGGGCUGCGCUGAAGCAGUGGAAACUUACAGUCUGAGGUCUCAGCUUUCAAGGAUAGCAGGUGGACUCCAAGGCAUAAAGAAAAAGCCGUGUGCCUACACUAGAGUCCCCAUGCCUGGGCAGCUCCCAUGGUGUGUCAACUUGGCCCAGAGACAAGAAUUCCCCAAAAAGACGUGCUUUGACCAGACUGACUGACAGGAGGAUCAAGGGAUGUGGUCCACAAAGAAUGAAGUACUUCAACACCAACCAAGGAAUGAGGCCAAAGCAAACAAAAAGAACCAUACAGUUAAAAAAGGAUAAACAAAUAGUAUAUUCAAGAUAAUUUUAAUAUUAAUGUUUUUGUGAAUUAGAAAUAUCACUCUUAAAUGAUGAAAAUUACUAGUGGGAGUGACUAUUUCCCCCAUUUCAGAAUUACAUUAUUUACACAUAUAAUACAGACUUGAUUGCAUCAGAAACAACAGUACUAAAAUAAAUGUUAACAGAUAAAAAGGGUUUUUAUCUCCACUCC
rnacentral:lncRNA from 1 species